rnacentral:rRNA from 1 species
UACAGAGGUCUCAAGCGUUGUUCGGAUUCAUUGGGCGUAAAGGGUGCGUAGGCGGCGCGGUAAGUCGGGUGUGAAAUCUCGGGGCUCAACUCCGAAACUGCAUUCGAUACUGCCGUGCUUGAGGACUGGAGAGGAGACUGGAAUUCCUGGUGUAGCGGUGAAAUGCGCAGAUAUCAGGAGGAACACCGAUGGCGAAGGCAGGUCUCUGGGCCACUACUGACGCUGAGAAGCGAAAGCAUGGGGAGCGAACAGG